rnacentral:tRNA from 1 species
GCCUGGGUGGCUCAGUCAGUUAAGCAUCUGACUUCAGCUCAGGUCAUGAUCUCACAGCUUGUGGGUUCAAGCCCCACAUCAGGCU